rnacentral:lncRNA from 1 species
AAAAAUUAAAACCCAAUUUAUUACCUAGGAGCCACACUUUCUAGUCAUCUUAACCAUCUGGAACUUAAAAGUAAAAAGAAAAAAAUCUAUGGGGAAAAUGACUGUCAUAAAGCCCACACACUUGACUCUUUAGGAGAGGUGGAUCCACCCUCAAGCCAUGAUUCAGACAAUCGGGCAUAAAAUAAUGCAGGGAAUGACAGCAGCUAGGACACCCGACAGCUAUCAAGUGACAGCCAACAGCAGCAGAAGGAGCCAGAGUGUAGAAAUGCAGGCUGGCUCUGUAGUACAGCAGUCUAAAGGCAUUUAACUUGGGGGCCACUGUCCCAAGCACCUAGCAUCCCCAGGAGACACUCUCUCAUCACUUAGUGCAAUGGCUGAUGUUCCAGGGAGUCUUCAGGAGAAUAAAUAUAAUGUCUAAGACACUCGGUGUAUAAGCAAAAAGACACAGUCAAAGAUCCCAGAAAUGUCUGCCUGCCAGAGUGAAAAAUUAAAACUGUUUCAGCAGUACAUAAACUUCCCUAAAAUGGAAAAGAUGUGUCACCCCAUGACUGCUUUGCAUAACUAAGGUGCCAGUGAUACAUGCUUUCAUCAGGUACAGGUUAGAACCAAUUAUUUGUGUUUAAACUUCUCCUCUCAAGAAGUCUUCAUACCUCCUACCAAGGUCUUAUAAGUGAAUCCCAAAACAAACUUCAGAGCACCACUAUAAAUUCUUAUACAAAUGACCUAAGUAAGAAAUUAUUCAGUCCCGAUCUCUCCUUACCAAGCUGGAGAAACAUGCAACCUAAAGCCAAUUUACAAUGCAGGAAGGCAGGGGCGCAGCCAGCCAGGUGCACACAGAGGAUACAGCAAGGUGAUAAAGACGAAACUAUGAUCAUUUGCAGAUUCAAAUAAAGGGAAUUUCUAAGAGCAGAAAAAAUUCUAACCCAUUGCUAGGUUCACAGCUAAGACCUCCAUAUGACAGAUAAGCAUACAGAUUUAUUUACUGUAAGUUUUACAUGACAGAGAGCCUUCAGACAUGAACACCCAGAGAAACAGAGAAAUCUAUGUAUUUUUAUACUAAGUUUGACGAAGAAGUAGAUAGUCAUGGAGAACUAUAACUGGAGGACAAAAGGACAUGAUCUGAUGGUAAUAAACUGGGAAAAUUUUAGCAAGGUCUGUUUUGUUCAAAUCCUUCUUAGUGUGUCUGUGUCUUCCAGGAUAAAAAUAUUCCCUUCCUCAGGGUACAGGGAGGGUACCUCUUAUGAACUACUUUACAGGAAGGUCAGAGAAUUCAUUUACGGCCUGCUUCAGGAGAGAAAGGCAAGAGGAAGGUCAGAGAGACUUUCCUAUUACUGCUGUUUUCUCCAAUACUAAAGUACCAUAUUUUGGGAUUGCAUGUCCCGAACUCCAUCAACUAAUUGGUACAAGAACGAGGAAGCCUCCAUGAAAGCCAAGCUGGAAAACAGGCAUGGUAUAUUCUAAACCAGUGGCUGUACCUUCAUUAGCAUAACAUAAUAAAUAAGUUAUGUGCCUUGGAAUGAAGAAUGUGCUUGGAGAGGGUGAGAAAGGAAUAUCCCUUCCAUGCUGACUUGUAAGGAAGUGAAAGAAUGCAACCAAACCAUUGUUAAAGUGGAUGUUGAUGGGAUUCUUGCACUGAGGAGAAUCAGACCAGAUGAUCCCUAAGGUCCCUCCCAGUGAAUUUCUUGUGAAUUUCCAUAUCUCAUUCACACUACAUCCCACUGCCAGAUCCAGCUCAGUGACCGGGAGACAGAUCUCAUUUAUCGUUUUUUGAGCAAAAUUGACUAAAACCGAACAGAGAAUUGCCACUGUUAAGAAAAGAGAAAGGCCAAGAGAAGAAAAAUCAGAGAGCUCAUGAUGAAAAACCAAAGUGUGUAAAAAGACAGUGGAAGAGUAUUGCCUUUCAUCACAGGUUUUAAACAUGGACUCCAGAAAGCAAUUGCUAAUAUGGAGGAUGAAUUCCCUAAAACCCAAAGGAAGAUGCAUCAGCACAUUGGCAGACUGGUACUCUUCAUGAAGACUUAUUUUUUUUCUAAACUGAUGCUAUACAUGAGAAUAAAAAGUUGAAGUCCGAAGUUCUUCAAAUUCAAUUCAACAAAUGUUGACUGGGUGCUGUAAAAGAAAAAUUGCACCAGAUCCAGUUAAACAGAUGUGGCAGGUAACCCCUGGCAGCGGUCUUCUGUCCCACAGCUUUCUACACUGUUGCCGUCUCUUCACCAGAGACAGCUACAAGGCUGGGGCAAGGUGUGGACUUCACUUUUCCAGAUGAUGGCAAGCAGCCAGGAACUGUCAAGGGGAAGGAAAGAACUCCAAGAUCACCCAGCAAAACAGGAAACUGAAGGGGGAUGAGAAACCACAUUGCAUCUCAGAAUCUCGCCACUUAAGCUGUGUCUUUCCAGAUGCACUAUAUUUCACCUAAAUUCAAACAUUUCCAAAUGAUAUUAAAA